UCUUGAUGGUAGUGUAUUGGACUACCAUGGCGAUCACGGGUAACGGGGAAUUAGGGUUCGAUUCCGGAGAGGGAGCCUGAGAAACGGCUACCACUUCUAGGGAAGGCAGCAGGCGCGUAAAUUACCCAAUCCUGAUUCAGGGAGGUAGUAACAAGUAAUAACGACCUCUUGCCAUUACGGUUUAGAGGAUCUGUAAUGAGGACAAUUUAAACCACUUAUCGAGGAACAAUUGGAGGGCAAGUCUGGUGCCAGCAGCCGCGGUAAUUCUAGCUCCAAUAGCGUAUAUUAAAGUUGUUGCAGUUAAAAAGCUCGUAGUUGAAAUUCUGGCAGGACGACUGAGCACAUCGCGACGUUGGCCUCGCCAUCACUCUUGAGGGUUGGAUACAAUCUUUAGUGCUUGGUUCAACUCCUCAGGGAUUUUACUUUGAAAAAAUUAGAGUGUUUCAAGCAGGCGUCUGCUGGAAUACAUUAGCAUGGAAUAAUAGAAAAUGACUUAUUGCAUUUUAUUGGUUUAAGCAGUAAGUAAUGAUUAACAGGGACAGUUGGGGGCAUUAGUAUUAGGUUGUCAGAGGUGAAAUUCAUGGAUUAAUUUAAGACUAACUUAUGCGAAAGCAUUUGCCAAGGAUGUUUUCAUUAAUCAAGAACGAAAGUUAGGGGAUCAAAGACGAUCAGAUACCGUC
rnacentral:rRNA from 1 species